rnacentral:lncRNA from 1 species
AUGGCUGACAACUCUCAGAAGAUGAGCUACCACGCUGGAGAGGCCAAGGGCCAAGCUCAGGUAAUUAGCUCACCUGUAAAUUGUAAUUCUCAAUUUGCUUUUGCUUCUUUCUUCUGUUUCCUUUUAGAUUGAUGUGGGAUGUUUUGUAUUGGAUAAUUUUGGAUUUAACAGGAGAAGGCCGGUGGGAUGAUGGAUAAGGCUAACAAUGCAGCCCAGUCUACCAAGGAGACAAUGCAAGAUGUUGGUCAGAAUGUGCAGGCGAAGGCUCAAGGAGCUGCUGACGCAGUCAAGAAUGCCACUGGCAUGAACAAAUGAAGCUGCUCAUGAUGAUCAUUUUCAUGACUUUUAAUGACUUUAUAGGGUUAAGAUGAUGGCAAACUUUCAUUGAGUUUUAUAGACUUUUAUGUAAUUUUUUUUUCUUUCUUAUCCUUCUUUUGAAAGAAGGAAUUGAAAAUUGCAUAGAAUUCUAAAAUGAUGGAAUUUAGAUCUCCAUCAUUUUAAGUUACGGAAAUUAAUAAUUUCAGUGUUCGGAUUUAUGUAUGUCGAAUUUUGCAAAUGAAAUUUCAAGGAAAAACAAAUUCCUUCACUCAAUAGAAAUUGUGAAUGAUGUCUCUUUUGAUUGAAAUUAAACUCAAAAAUCUUGAGUGCUUAACUUUCGUGCUAAAGUAGCCAAACAAUGAAAAUAUUAAAUUCUAUGCUUCAGUUCUUAACUUUUAGCUAAAUAAUUAACGUAUGGUAAUAGCAGUAUGUAGUAUGACCAAAAGAAAACGAAUUCUAAUAUUAUCUUUUGAUCACGAUGAACUAACUCAUGAGAUCUAUAUAAACAAAAUAAUUAUUCAUGUAGAGAUUUGAUGAAUAUCAAUUAUGAAUUCGUUGGGUUAGAGACUUUUUCACCUCAGAUUUCUAAAGGUCUCAUUCUGGGCCUCGGUGCCUUAUGGCUUUUUGAAAUAUCCACCAAGUUGACCAAACACAUUAAAAUACACUCAAGUCAAGAGAACCAAACUAACACAAAAAUACAUAAUGUAAAUGAACUUGGGGUAACUAUCAAGUAGAAAUUUUUUUAUAGAGCCAGUGUAUGCAUUAUUUUCCUCGUUAUAAGUGUUCACAUAACUAAGCACGUGAAAGAAUGUAGCGUGCAUGAAAGAGCUGGUGUAUGCAUUAUUUUUCUCACAAUAAGUGGUCACAUAACUAAGCACGUGAAAGAAUAUAGCGUGCAUGAUGAUGUAUAAAACUCGUUACACGUAAGAUUUUUUGAGGUUAAAGAUAAAAUGAACACUUGUCCAGAAACUGAAGGACAAUAUUGCUUUUAACUCAUGUGGAGGAUAACCCAACAAGUUUAUUGGCAUUUACACAUAAGAUGUUCUGGCCUUUCAAUCAAAUAAUAAUAUCUUGUGGAUUAUGGAACAGUCUUGUGAAUUGUAAUUAAUUGAUAAUUUAAUCCAAUAUUACGAGAAUUCCAUAAUGCUAAAAAAAGUAAUUUUCAUUCACAAAACUGUCCAAGAAACCCUCAGAAUAGCAACUUUUAAGACUCAACAGCCUUCCUGGUCAAACGGCUCACCCUAAGUUAUAGGCGACACGUGUUAUGGCCCAAAACCAUGACCAGGAUGAAAUGUGUGCAUGACAUCACACAUGUCGAGCAUUCAGUUGGUCUAAAAUCGUAUAUAAACCAUACCCAAUUGUGAGAUAUUCAUCAUCAGCAAAUCAAAUUUGAGUUAUAACAACUUCAUCUGAAUUUCAAGUGUUUUCAAGAAAACAAAGCAAGAAGAAAAUGGCUGACAACUCUCAGAAGAUGAGCUACCACGCUGGAGAGGCCAAAGGCCAAGCUCAGGUAAUUAGCUCACCUGUAAAUUGUAAUUCUCAAUUUGCUUUUGCUUCUUUCUUCUGUUUUCUUUUAGAUUGAUGUGGGAUGUUUUGUAUUGGAUAAUUUUGGAUUUAACAGGAGAAGGCCAGUGGGAUGAUGGAUAAGGCUAACAAUGCAGCCCAGUCUACCAAGGAGACAAUGCAAAAUGUUGGUCAGAAUGUGCAGGCGAAGGCUCAAGGAGCUGCUGAUACAGUCAAGAAUGCCACUGGCAUGAACAAAUGAAGCUGCUCAUGAUGAUCAUUUUCAUGACUUUUAAUGACUUUAUAGGGUUAAGAUGAUGGCAAACUUUCAUUGAGUUUUAUAGACUUUUAUGUAAUUUUUUUUUCUUUCUUAUCCUUCUUUUGAAAGAAGGAAUUGAAAAUUGCAUAGAAUUCUAAAAUGAUGGAAUUUAGAUCUUCAUCAUUUUCAGUUAUGGCAAUUAAUAAUUUUAGGAUUCGAAUUUAUGUAUAUCGAAUUUUGCAAAUGAAAUUUCAUGGAAAAACGAAUUCCUUCACUCAAUAGAAAUUGUGAAAUGAUGUCUAUUUUGAAUGAAAUUAAACUCAGAAAUAUUGAGUGCUUAACUUUCGUGCUAAAGUAGCCAAACAAUGGAAAUAUCAAAUUCUACACUUCAAUUCCUAACUUUUAGGUAAAUAAUUAAUGGGUAAUAGAAGUAUGUAGUAUGACCAAAAGAAAACGAAUUCUAAUAUUAUCUUUUGAUUAUGAUGAAUUAACUCAUGAGAUCUAUAUAACCAAAAUAAUUAUUCAUGUAGAGAUUGAUGAAUAUCAAUUAUGAAUUCGUUGGGUUUGAGACUAUUUCAUCUCUUAUUUCUAAAAGUCUUUGGGUUUGAGACUAUUUCAUAUAUCUCUUAUUUCUAAAGGUCUCAUUCUAGGCCUGGGUGCCUUAGAGCUUUUUGAAAUAUCCACCAGUUGACCAAACCAUAGUCUGAAAUAUCGAUAAUAUCGAGGAAAUAUCGAGGAUAUUUCGGUUUUUUCGAACCACGGAUAUUUCGGAACAUAUCCAUGUACAUAUCGUAUAAAUAUCGACAAUAUCGACGAUAAUAUCGGAAAAUAUCAAUGUCGAUAAUUUCGCUUACAUUUCAGCAAUAUAUUGUCAAAAUAUCGCUAAAAUAUCGAAAAUAUCGAUGUGAAGGAAAAAAAAAAGGGAAAAAGGGGAGAAAAAAGCACAAAGGGGAUAUGAACCCCUCCCAUUUUACUCCUCCAACACCUUAAACACCAUAUCACUUAUGUUUUUGUGAUAAUAUGCUAAAAUAUUUAUAUUUAUAUGGGUGGUAUGUUAACAAUUACAUGCAAAACUAUUUUGGGGAUUUAUCAUUUGAUGACUACUCUUCACAAUACACUUACUCUACACAUAGAGAUGAUGAAGAUAGUGAAAAAUUUGAACCUCGUAGGAACUCUAUGUGGUACUAAGUCACUCAUGUAUCUUACCAUGCAAUGUAUAAAGUGUAAAAUAUUAUAGUAAAUCAUUAUAUAUAAAUGAUUACGGUGUAUUUAAUCUUUUUUCAUUAAUUAUUACAUAUUUUUUACACUCAUAGUGUUUGCCCGCUUGCUGUAUAAUCAACUUAAAUUAGUUAAAUCCAUCAUGCAAUGCAUUUCCUUCUAAUUUUUUGUGAUAAACUCAUAGAUAAUUGACUAAAUAAACAUUCUCCAAAAUUUCAAUUAAAAUUUCCAAGUUUUUCUUACAAUUUCUGUGAUCUUUAUUCAAUUUUUAUCGAUAUCGAUAAUAUCCCGAUAUUUCCAUCGAAAUUUCCAUAUUUUUGGAUUACCGAUAUUUCCGAUAUCAUCGAUAUUUUAGACCUUGGACCAAACACAUUAAAAUGCACUCAACUCAAGAAACAAGACUCCAUAAAUCAGAAACACAAUAGAACCAAACUAACACAAAAAUACAUAAUGUGAAGGAACUUGGGGUAACUAUCAAGUAGAAAAAUUUAUAUAGAGCUUUUGUAUGCCUUAUUUUCAUCAUAAUAAGUGUUCACAUAACUAAGCACACGAAAGAAUGUAGCGUGUAUGAAAGAGCUAGAGUAUGCAUUAUUUUUCUCAUAAUAAGUGGUCACAUAACUAAGCAUAGGAAAGAAUAUAGCAUGCAUGAUGAUGUAUAAAACUCGUUACAUGUAAGAUUUUUUGUGUUAAAGACAAAAUGCACAAUUUCCUAGAAACUGAAGGAUAAUAUCGCUUUUCACUCAUGUGGAGGAUAACCCAACAAGUUUAUUAGCAUUUACUCAUAAGAUGUUCUGGCCUUUCAAUCAAAUAAAAAUAUCUCGUGGAUUGUGGAAUAGUCUUGUGAAUUGUAAUUAAUUGAUAAUAUAAUCCAAUAUUCCAAGAAUUCCAUAAUGCUGAAAAAAAUAAUUUCCAUCCACAAAACUGUCUAAGAAACCCUCAGAAUAGCAACUUUUAAGGCUCAACAGCCUUCCUGGUCAAAAGGCUCACCCUAAGUUAUUGGGCGACACAUGUUAUGGUCCAAAACCAUGACCAGGAUGAAAUGUGUGCAUGACAUCACACAUGUCGAGCAUUAAGCUAGUCUAAAAUCGUAUAUAAACCAUACCCAAUUGUGAGAGAUUCAUCAUCAGCCAAUCGAAUUUGAGUUAUAACAACUUCAUCGGAAUUUCAAGUGUUUUCAAGAAAACAAAGCAAGAAGAAAAUGGCUGACAACUCUCAAAAGAUGAGCUACCAUGUUGGAGAGGCCAAGGGCCAAGCUCAGGUAAUUAGCUCACCUGUAAAUUGUAAUUCUCCAUUUGUUUUUGCUUCUUUCUUUUUUUUUCUUUUAGAUUAAAGUGGGUUGUUUUGUAUUGGAUAAUUUUGGAUUUAACAGGAAAAGGUCGGUGGGAUGAUGGAUAAGGCUAACAAUGCAGCCCAAUCUACCAAGGAGACAAUGCAAGAUGUUGGUCAGAAUGUGCAGGCGAAGGCUCCAGGAGCUGCUGAUGCAGUCAAGAAUGCCACUGGCAUGAACAAAUGA